ensembl:Mt_tRNA
GUUUAUGUAGCUUAGUAUACCCAAAGCAAGACACUGAAAAUGUCUAGACGGACCCACAAACCCCGUAAACA